rnacentral:lncRNA from 1 species
GGUGGGGUGGGGUGGGUGAGAGAGGCUUAAGGACCAAAAUAAUAGUUCAAUCGUUGAUAUAUUCAUUUGCAAGAUGUGGAAUUGGGUUUUCAAUGGUAACCUCCAGAAGCAAAACUCUCCAAUAAUUUCAGUUCAUCCACCCGACACUUACAACACAAUUGACUCAGGAAUUCAUUAUCCAUAUCAUCUUGAAAAUUCUCCAACAAUUUCAAUUCAUUCACCCAAUACUUAAUCAUCUUGAAAACAAUUAAAAUUAAUCAAUGAAGAUUAAUACAACAAGCUGUAAAAUACCAAAUCUGAAAUAGCAAAAAUGAAAUCUCAUUUUUUUAAAGCAGAAAAUCUCUCGUAAGUUUAAAUUUGCCAGUGGAAGGAAGAAAAUAGAUACCCAAAAAACUCAGCCAAUUCUGGACGAAAGUGAGGAUGACCCAUGGUAGAACUAGAUGUG